AACAUUGCGACGCAGCGAACAAGCGUUCAUUCGCAUUUGCAAACGAUAUCUCCUCGAAGUGAUCGAUUCGGUGAUUCGAUCACCGUGUUUAAACGCGAUUCAACGACGUGUCGUCGUUGCACCUGCUACAGCUGCAUCGUGAACGAGACGAGACGAUUAACCAGGCGUGCACGCGUUUAUCGCGUGACGGUUACGCAGAUGCGCGCGCACGCCCGCAUUUGUUUUGCUCGACUCGCACUACAUUUUACCAGAAUUCGCAAUUCGAUAUUUUCUAAAUCGCAUACGUAUGGAUUGCAUGGAAUAGGAAGACGUAACGAACGAGAUGGUCCUUUCUCCAAUUCGUACUGGAUGGUUUUCAAGUAUCGAUUGUGUUAGCAUAUAGACAUCGAGACGCUUUUUUAUUUUGAUGGAAUGCAAGUAAGGAAAAAGUUCAAUCAAACACAGGUAACAAAACGUCGUCAAUCUCAAUUACAACGACGAAAUAAUAAUAGAACAGACACCCAAGGAAAACAAAGUAAAAAGGUUCGGGAUGAAUAAAAGUGCGUUCAGGAGAAGGGUAAUUCGAAUGGUAAAAGUGAUUACCGCUGGCAGGAUUCC